AGUGAACGCUGGCGGCAGGCCUAACACAUGCAAGUCGAGCGGCAGCGCGGGGGCAACCCUGGCGGCGAGCGGCGGACGGGUGAGGAAUGCAUCGGAAUCUACCUCGUUGUGGGGGAUAACGUAGGGAAACUUACGCUAAUACCGCAUGAGGCCGAGAGGUGAAAGUGGGGGACCCGCGAGGGCCUCACGCGAUGAGAUGAGCCGAUGCCGGAUUAGCUAGUUGGCGGGUAAAGGCCCACCAAGGCGACGAUCCGUAGCUGGUCUGAGAGGAUGAUCAGCCACACUGGAACUGAGACACGGUCCAGACUCCUACGGGAGGCAGCAGUGGGGAAUAUUGGACAAUGGGCGCAAGCCUGAUCCAGCCAUGCCGCGUGUGUGAAGAAGGCC
rnacentral:rRNA from 1 species